UGGACGAGAAUAAAGAUAGAGUCCCGUUCCACAUGUCAAUACCGACAACAAUGAAAUUUAUAG
rnacentral:tRNA from 2 species